AUGAUGUCACACAGAUGUUUGCUGAUCAUAUUAACCAUCUGGGUUCAUGGAUCCUGUGGACAGAUUGCGGUGACUCAGACUCCAGACUCUGUCUCUGUGUCACCAGGAGAACGCGUCACCAUGACAUGUAAAGCCAGUAGUAAUGUAUACGGCUAUGUAGCCUGGUACCAACAGAAACCAGGACAACCCCCAAAGCUCCUGAUCUAUUAUGCCAGCAGCAGAUACAGCGGGACCCCAGAGCGGUUCAGCGGCAGCGGGUCGGGAACUGAUUUCACUUUUACCAUCAGCGGAGUGCAAGCAGAAGAUGCAGCAGAUUAUUACUGUCAGCAGAGUUACAGCGCCCCUCUCACAGUGAUACAGAGCCAAUGCCAAGGAGAGAUUGUGGUGACUCAGACUCCAGAAUCUUUGUCUGUUCUUCCAGGCGACCCGGUGACCAUCAGCUGUAAGACCGUUAUAUAUUUCUAA